UACCUGCAGCUCGAGUGGUAACCGCUAUUAUUGGGCCUAAAGCGUCCGUAGCCGGUUUGGUAAAUAUCUGGGUAAAUCGUGAGGCUUAACUUCACGAAUUUCGGAUAGACUGCCAGACUUGGGAUCGGGGGAGGUCAGAGGUACUCCAGGGGUAGCGGUGAAAUGUUGUAAUCCUUGGAAGACCACCGGUAGCGAAGGCGUCUGACUAGAACGAGUCCGACGGUGAGGGACGAAGCCCUGGGGCGCAAACCGGAUUAGAUACCCGGGUAGUCCAGGGUGUAAACAAUGUGGGCUUUGUAUUGGAGGUCCCACGUGGGCGUCCAGUGCAGAAGAGAAGUUGUUAAGCCCACCGCCUGGGAAGUACGGUCGCAAGGCUGAAACUUAAAGGAAUUGGCGGGGGAGCACAGCAACGGGUGGAGCGUGCGGUUU
rnacentral:rRNA from 1 species